GAUGAACGCUGGCAGCGUGCCUAAUACAUGCAAGUCGAGCGAACAGACGAGGAGCUUGCUCCUCUGACGUUAGCGGCGGACGGGUGAGUAACACGUGGAUAACCUACCUAUAAGACUGGGAUAACUUCGGGAAACCGGAGCUAAUACCGGAUAAUAUAUUGAACCGCAUGGUUCAAUAGUGAAAGACGGUUUUGCUGUCACUUAUAGAUGGAUCCGCGCCGCAUUAGCUAGUUGGUAAGGUAACGGCUUACCAAGGCAACGAUGCGUAGCCGACCUGAGAGGGUGAUCAGCCACACUGGAACUGAGACACGGUCCAGACUCCUACGGGAGGCAGCAGUAGGGAAUCUUCCGCAAUGGGCGAAAGCCUGACGGAGCAACGCCGCGUGAGUGAUGAAGGUCUUCGGAUCGUAAAACUAUGUUAUUAGGGAAGAACAAAUGUGUAAGUAACUAUGCACGUCUUGACGGUACCUAAUCAGAAAGCCACGGCUAACUACGUG
rnacentral:rRNA from 1 species